rnacentral:piRNA from 1 species
GAUCGGUGAGAGGCUCUGGGCUGC